ACCGUCGACAUCAAUCUCUCUGAA
rnacentral:siRNA from 1 species